GAAGACCUUAAAAGAGCGUACUACAGGGAUACUGCCAUAUCGAUGUUCACACCAGCACAAUUCACAAUAGCUAGACUGUGGAAUCAACCCAGAUGCCCUUCAAUGGAUGAAUGGAUUAAAAAAUGUGGCAUCUAUACACCAUGGAGUAUUACGCAGCACUAAAAAAUGACAAAAUCAUGGAAUUCGCAGGGAAAUGGAUGGCACUAGAGCAGAUUAUGCUUAGUGAAGCUAGCCAAUCCCUAAAAAACAAAUACCAAAUGUCUUCUUUGAUAUAAUGAGAGCAACUAAGAAUAAAGCAGGGAGGAAGAGCAGGAAGAAAAGAUUAACAUUAAACAGAG
rnacentral:lncRNA from 1 species